GAUGAAGAACGUAGCGAAAUGCGAUAAGUAAUGUGAAUUGCAGAAUUCAGUGAAUCAUCGAAUCUUUGAACGCACAUUGCGCCCGCCAGUAUUCUGGCGGGCAUGCCUGUUCGAGCGUCAUUUCAACCAUCAAGCCCUGCUUGCGUUGGGGUCCUGCGGCUGCGCGCAGGCCCUGAAAACCAGUGGCGGGCUCGCUAGUCACACCGAGCGCAGUAAUACAUCUCGCUUUGGGCGUGCGGCGGGUUCUUGCCGUUAAACACCCCCUUUUUACCAAGGUUGACCUCGGAUCAGGUAGGAAUACCCGCUGAACUUAAGCGUAUCAAUAAGCGGAGGA
rnacentral:misc_RNA from 1 species